GAUGAACGCUAGCGGCAGGCUUAAUACAUGCAAGUCGAGGGACAGCACAGGUAGCAAUACUGGGUGGUAACCGGCAAACGGGUGCGGAACACGUACACAACCUUCCUUUAAGUGGGGGAUAGCCCAGAGAAAUUUGGAUUAAUACCCCGUAAUAUAGUUGAAUGGCAUCAUUUGAUUAUUAUAGCUACGGCGCUUAAUGAUGGGUGUGCGGCUGAUUAGAUAGUUGGCGGGGUAACGGCCCACCAAGUCUACGAUCAGUAGCUGAUGUGAGAGCAUGAUCAGCCACACGGGCACUGAGACACGGGCCUGACUCCUACGGGAGGCAGCAGUAAGGAAUAUUGGUCAAUGGACGAAAGUCUGAACCAGCCAUGCCGCGUGAAGGAUUAAGGUCCUCUGGAUUGUAAACUUCUUUUAUUUGGGACGAAAAAGGGUCUUUCUAGGUCAACUGACGGUACCAGAUGAAUAAGCACCAGCUAACUCCGUGCCAGCAGCCGCGGUAA
rnacentral:rRNA from 1 species